rnacentral:rRNA from 1 species
AUGGCGCGCAGAGGAGAAGUAGGGCCAGGGGCGCGUCAGGGCGAGGAACUUGAGGGCGCGGCGCGGCGAGAGGGUGCAGCUGCUGCUGCUGCUGCUGGCGGCGAGGUCGAGGCGAGGAGCGCUGGUCGUCGCCGUGGGCGACGGGGAGGUCCGGCGGCGCGCGAGAAGAGCAGCAGCAGAGCAGCUCGGGCGCGGAGGCUGCGCUCGCCGGAGUUGAUGGCCAGCGCGGCGGCAAGGGAAGGAGGAGCGGGUGAGGAGGUGGCUGAGGCAUGGAGGAAAGAGGGAGGGGAGCAGGCGGGGCUUCGCGAGGAGGACGAAAGGGAGCGGGGGAAGGAGAGGCCAACGCGGGGGAGAUGGGGGGAUCGAGCAGUGCUCUCCCUGUCUAUAUUAAAUAUCUAA